AUGUUUGGGCGGUGCUGGGUUAGGGUUACCUAAUCAUCCUUUCUAGUUUCUAGUUCUCCAUCGUCACUCUCCACUCUCCAGACUCUCCAUCCAGUUCAGAAUCUAGUCAGUUCAGCCGCUGAACUUCAGCGUAUUACUAUUCAAAUGGAAACACCUGGUAACGAAACACCGGUUGUUACUCUUGAUGAAGAAUCCCCAAACG
rnacentral:lncRNA from 1 species